rnacentral:rRNA from 1 species
CCUACGGGUGGCAGCAGUGAGGAAUCUUGGUCAAUGGCCGGAAGGCUGACCCAGCCAAGCCGCGUGAAGGACGAAGGUGCCAAGCAUUGUAAACUUCUUUUGUCAAGGGACAAAAUCAGGCUCGUGAGCCUGACCGAGGGUACUUGAAGAAAAAGCAUCGGCAAACUCCGUGCCAGCAGCCGCGGUAAUACGGAGGAUGCGAGCGUUAUCCGGAUUUAUUGGGUUUAAGGGGUGCGUAGGCGGGCUGUUAAGUUAAGGGUGAAAUCCCCGCGCUCAACGGGGGAACUGCCUUUGAAACUGGCAGACUGGAGUGUGGGAGAGGAUAGUGGAAUUCCAGGUGUAGGGGUGAAAUCCGUAGAUAUCUGGAGGAACAUCAGUGGCGAAGGCGACUAUCUGGCACAUAACUGACGCUGAGGAUCGAAAGCGUGGGUAGCAAACAGGAUUAGAUACCCCGGUAGUC